rnacentral:lncRNA from 1 species
AGCACUGAUUGGUGCAUUUACAAACCUUUAGCUAGACGCAGAGUGCUGAUUGGUGCGUUUACAAUCUUUUAGCUAGACACAGAGUGCUGAUUGGUGCAUUUACAAUCCUCUAGCUAGACAUAAAAGUUCUCCAAGUCCCCACCAGAUUAGCUAGAUACAGAGUGGUGAUUGGUGCAUCCACAAACCCCGAGCUAGACACAGAGUGCUGAUUGGUGCAUAUACAAUCCUCCAGCUAGACAUAAAAGUUCUCCAAGUCCCCACCUGACUCAGAAGCCCAGCUAGCUUUGCCUAGUGGAUCCUGCGCCUGGCCGUGGGUGGAGUUGCCCACCAGUCCCGCACUGCAUGCCCGUGUAUCCGCGCAGUCAGUCACCCAGCUUUCUGACAUCACAGG